GUGGGCAGAGCAGUGGUGGCCAGGCUUGGGCUGGGGCUGCUGCUGCUGGCACUGCUCCUACCCACGCAGAUUUAUUCCAAUCAAACAACUGUUGUAACAAUUUCAAGUAACUCCUCCCAGAGUACUUCGACUGCCCCAAAUCCAGCUACUGCCACCACCAAGGCGGCUGUUGGUGCCCUGCAGUCAACAGCCAGUCUCUUCGUGGUCUUACUCUCUCUU
rnacentral:lncRNA from 10 species